AACUACUGCACACGUGUCAUUACAAUUUAUUUAUUUAAUUUGCCUUGAUUUGGCUCCAAACUUUUCAGCGGGAACCUAGGGUCGGACCCUGCUCGAGUUGUAAUUACUGCACGCGCAUCGCUAAAAUUUACACCCAGGGUGAAGAGGACCAACGGGAUGCCGCUGGAUCCACGGGUCCAGUAACAAUGACCUGAAACAGACUGUUACACCCAGCCUUGGCUCCUUACUUGAGAGUCUGCUAAGAAAUGUUCAGUUGCAAGCUGUGUUUCACUGGUAAGGUUUAAAAGUUGCACAAGAGUCUCCCCAGCCUCAACGGACAGAAAGAGCUCCCGUUGGUUGCAGAGAGAUGACCUUGGUUGGUCACACUUUACUGCAGGAGGCAUUCACAGACCUGCAGCUGAAACAGGUGAGGCAGCAGUCACUCAGCUUGCUUGAACAACUGGCUGGUGGCCAAAACCAGCCCUGGCCGGUCCUGAGACCCUGCAUUGUCAGGUCACUACACAGACUAAAGCCUGGAUUAGUACUGUCAAAAUCACUUACUGCUCUACAGUUUCACUGAGCUGUCAUAAUUCUGCUUGCAACGUGACUUUCUGUAUGGCAGAAUUAACUGAAGUUUUUAUACAGAUUUUGCAGAUAAAUUAUCAGCUUUGGUGUAAUCUACUAUUCAAAAGACACACAUAAGGUACUCUUACUGUAGUUUUAAUUUUUAAUGGAAUUUAAUGUAGUUGUAUGAGACAAAAGAUGGAUUUAAUUAAAUGUAGACCAAAGAUAUGUCAUAGGCUAUAUCCAGUGUUUCUGAAAGGCGCAAGACAGCUCAUAAUUAACCCCAGCCAUACAUAUAUACAGGAUGAAGCCUAUGUAUUUUUGUCUGGAAAUGAGUACCACCCUAUUAUUUUUGGUUUAUGGAAAUAAUGCAGUAACUUGAAAGUAUGACAAAUAUGUAUAUGAUGC